GGCGGAGGUUGCAGUGAGCCGACAUCACCCCACUGCACUCCAGCCUGGUGACAGAGCAAGACUCCAUCUCAGAAAAAAGAAAAGAAAAGAAAAGAAAUAUCUGAGACUGGAUUGGUCAGGACAAUUGUGUAAGUGUCUGAAGAACCAUCUGGGGCUCCUUCAACAACUCAACAAGAGCUGGGUUCCUAUGAGGUCAUGGAGACCAGGAGAGCAUACAGUUUGUAUCUGCCAUUGAGGAGCCACUAUUCUUGGGCAGACUCCUUCGUGAAGAGCAGGAGGGGCCAGAAUUGAAUGCUUUCUUAGGACAUUUCACCACUGCUAUCCAUCCAUGCAAAUGUGGUUAUAUGGAAGUUAUUUUGUGUUAAAGAGAAGAUUGGGAGCAUUGGAAAAGAUAAAUUCUGGUCAAGGAAAUUAGAACAGAAGUGAUAAAGCAGUACAUACAAUGUCCAGACUGCAUCCUUG
rnacentral:lncRNA from 1 species